CUAGUAGUCCUCAACCGAACAGAGCACCCACUAGUACUACUAGUCCAGCGAGAACACAAGUAAUAAUACAGACUGAUGCUCCUCUGCUCCUUGCCCAGAUCGGCGCCGCCGCCAGCGACGGGAAAGAUGUCGCUGCUAGAUCCUCCACACUCUCUCUCCCCUGACGUGAAUCCCCAUAUUAUUCCCAUGAAUUUCAGCCUCAACUCUCUAACCCCCCUCUGUGUGUGUGUUCUUUUGGCUUGCAGGUCAAACCCUAUUGGGGAUGUGAUUUCCCUGCUCCAGAUUGAAGUGGUUGACGUUGGGCGCCGCCGUGAUGCUGGAUGGUGCAGGUCAGAGCUCCAGUGCGUGUCCGUGGAGCAGAUCCACCAUGGGUGCAGGGGAAUGGAAAUGCUACUGAGAAGAAGAAGAGAGCUUGGUCUGGCUAUUUGGAAGCAGAGUGAAGAGUGUGCUACGGUGAAACCUUAGCCAGAACUGAAGCGGAGUCCUAUUCCUUGAGUGUGGUGAACUACUGCCAAAGUGCCAAGGGCAAAAUCAGUGGUGGGAUGCAACAGCGGCAAUCUUUGUUGAGUGCAUUGACACGGCAACAUCAAUACGGAAGGUCAUCUUUUCGCGUUGUUUUUCGUGAUGCUAAUUCGAUAGCUCAUGAGCUAGCUAAAUUCAGCUUUUGUAAUAAGUGUGAUGAUAAUUGGAUUAAUGAGGCCCCGGGUUUCCUAAUCAGCCAAUUAAUGAACAAUGUAAUU